rfam:Agrococcus pavilionensis RW1 scf7180000000270, whole genome shotgun sequence.
GGCUUUCUUCGCGGCGGAGCUCGACCGCCCACCGAAGUAUUGACCGCGUUCAUCGACGAGCACCGUGACGUGUUCGGGGUCGAGCCGAUCUGCCGCGUGCUGAGCCAGCACGGCGCCGCGAUCGCCCCG